rfam:Macleaya cordata isolate BLH2017 scaffold9055, whole genome shotgun sequence.
GUUCUGCAGGGAUGAUUUAUGAAAUUCUUCACAUGUCAGACUUCAGAGAUUUUGUUCACAAGAUCCAUGAGAAGAGAAUUCAUUUUUCUGAGCAAAGA